GUGGGGAAUCUUCCGCAAUGGACGAAAGUCUGACGGAGCAACGCCGCGUGAGUGAUGAAGGUCUUCGGAUUGUAAAGCUCUGUUAAUCGGGACGAAAGAGCCUAGUGUGAAUAAUGCUAGGAAGUGACGGUACCGGAAUAGAAAGCCACGGCUAACUACGUGCCAGCAGCCGCGGUAAUACGUAGGUGGCAAGCGUUGUCCGGAAUUAUUGGGCGUAAAGCGCGCGCAGGCGGAUCUGCCAGUCUGCCUUAAAAGUUCGGGGCUUAACCCCGUGAUGAGAUGGAAACUACAGAUCUAGAGUAUCGGAGAGGAAAGUGGAAUUCCUAGUGUAGCGGUGAAAUGCGUAGAUAUUAGGAAGAACACCAGUGGCGAAGGCGACUUUCUGGACGAAAACUGACGCUGAGGCGCGAAAGCCAGGGGAGCGAACGGGAUUAGAAACCCCGGUAGUCC
rnacentral:rRNA from 1 species